CGGGGUGAGUAACGCGUGGGCAACCUACCGUAUACAGGGGGAUAACACUUAGAAAUAGGUGCUAAUACCGCAUAAGCGCACAGCAGUGCAUACUGGAGUGUGAAAAGCCGAGACGGUAUACGAUGGGCCCGCGUCUGAUUAGCCAGUUGGCAGGGUAACGGCCUACCAAAGCGACGAUCAGUAGCCGGCCUGAGAGGGCGGACGGCCACAUUGGGACUGAGACACGGCCCAGACUCCUACGGGAGGCAGCAG
rnacentral:rRNA from 1 species